GAUGAAGCACGUAGCGAAAUGCGAUAAGUAGUGUGAAUUGCAGAAUUCAGUGAAUCAUCGAAUCUUUGAACGCACAUUGCGCCCCUUGGUAUCCCGAGGGGCAUGCCUGUUCGAGCGUCAUUUCACCACUCAAGCCUGGCUUGGUGUUGGGCGACGUCCCCUUUGGGGACGCGCCUCGAAACGCUCGGCGGCGUGGCACCGGCUUUAAGCGUAGCAGAAUCUUUCGCUUUGGAAGUCGGGGCCCCGUCUGCCGGAAGACCUACUCGCAAGGUUGACCUCGGAUCAGGCAGGGAUACCCGCUGAACUUAAGCAUAUCAAUAAGCGGAGGA
rnacentral:misc_RNA from 1 species